GCCGAAGUGGUGGAAUUGGUAGUCAGGGUCUAGUUCUGGCAACGGAGUGGGAGUUCGACUCUCCCCUUCGGCACCA
rnacentral:tRNA from 1 species